GAUGAACGCUGGCGGCGUGCUUAACACAUGCAAGUCGAACGGAAAGGCCCAAGCUUGCUUGGGUACUCGAGUGGCGAACGGGUGAGUAACACGUGGGUGAUCUGCCCUGCACUUCGGGAUAAGCCUGGGAAACUGGGUCUAAUACCGGAUAGGACGAUGGCUUGGAUGCCAUUGUGGAAAGUUUUUUCGGUGUGGGAUGAGCUCGCGGCCUAUCAGCUUGUUGGUGGGGUAAUGGCCUACCAAGGCGUCGACGGGUAGCCGGCCUGAGAGGGUGUACGGCCACAUUGGGACUGAGAUACGGCCCAGACUCCUACGGGAGGCAGCAGUGGGGAAUAUUGCACAAUGGGCGCAAGCCUGAUGCAGCGACGCCGCGUGGGGGAUGACGGCCUUCGGGUUGUAAACUCCUUUCGCUAGGGACGAAGCGUUUUUGUGACGGUACCUGGAGAAGAAGCACCGGCUAACUACGUG
rnacentral:rRNA from 1 species